rnacentral:rRNA from 1 species
UCGGGAAUUUUGGACAAUGGGCGCAAGCCUGAUCCAGCCAUGCCGCGUGAGUGACGAAGGCCUUAGGGUUGUAAAGCUCUUUUGGCGGGGAAGAUAAUGACGGUACCCGCAGAAUAAGCUCCGGCUAACUUCGUGCCAGCAGCCGCGGUAAUACGAAGGGAGCUAGCGUUGUUCGGAAUCACUGGGCGUAAAGCGCACGUAGGUGGGCAGUUAAGUCAGGGGUGAAAGCCCGAGGCUCAACCUCGGAAUUGCCUCUGAUACUGGCUGUCUAGAGUUCGAGAGAGGUGAGUGGAAUUCCUAGUGUAGAGGUGAAAUUCGUAGAUAUUAGGAAGAACACCGGUGGCGAAGGCGGCGCACUGGCUCGAUACUGACACUGAGGUGCGAAAGCGUGGGGAGCAAACAGGAUUAGAUACCCUUGUAGUCCCUGAGCGGGCUGGCAAGGCGCAU